AAGGCCUUCGGGCUUAGUGGCGGCACGGGUGAGUGAACACGUGGGAAUAUACCUCUCAGGGGGGGAUAAGCGGGGGGAAACUGACGCUAAUACCGCAUACGCCCUUCGGGGGAAAGAUUUAUCGGUGAGAGAUUAGCCGGCGUCCGAUUAGCUAG
rnacentral:rRNA from 1 species